rnacentral:RNase_P_RNA from 1 species
GGAGUCGGCCAGACAAUCGCUGCCUUGUCGUUGUGCGGGUUCGCUCGCAGACGGGCAAGGGGGAGGAAAGUCCGGGCUCCACAGGGCAGGGUGCCAGGUAACGCCUGGGGGGCGCAAGCCUACGACCAGUGCAGCAGAGAGCAGACCGCCGAUGGCUCCCUCGGGAGCACAGGUAAGGGUGAAAGGGUGCGGUAAGAGCGCACCGCGCGGCUGGUAACAGACCGUGGCACGGUAAACUCCACCCGGAGCAAGACCAAAUAGGCCCCCAUUGGCGUGGCCCGCGUUGGGGGCGGGUAGGUUGCUUGAGCCCAGGAGCGAUCCUGGGCCUAGAGGAAUGAUUGUCCACGACAGAACCCGGCUUAUCGGCCGACUCCAACC